rfam:Bombyx mori DNA, contig: Bm_scaf37_contig22092, strain: p50T/Dazao, build 2, whole genome shotgun sequence.
AGACGACUCAUUUGUAUGCAGUUGGAACAGCGCCCCUAGCGGCAAACGUAGGCAAACGUUCCAACUCCAUACAAAUAUGAAUUA